CCUACGGGAGGCAGCAGUGGGGAAUCUUGCGCAAUGGGCGAAAGCCUGACGCAGCCAUGCCGCGUGAAUGAUGAAGGUCUUAGGAUUGUAAAAUUCUUUCACCGAGGACGAUAAUGACGGUACUCGGAGAAGAAGCCCCGGCUAACUUCGUGCCAGCAGCCGCGGUAAUACGAAGGGGGCUAGCGUUGCUCGGAAUUACUGGGCGUAAAGGGAGCGUAGGCGGAUAGUUUAGUCAGAGGUGAAAGCCCAGGGCUCAACCUUGGAAUUGCCUUUGAUACUGGCUAUCUUGAGUACGGAAGAGGUAUGUGGAACUCCGAGUGUAGAGGUGAAAUUCGUAGAUAUUCGGAAGAACACCAGUGGCGAAGGCGACAUACUGGUCCGUUACUGACGCUGAGGCUCGAAAGCGUGGGGAGCAAACAGGAUUAGAUACCCUGGUAGUCCACGCUGUAAACGAUGAGUGCUAGUUGUCGGCAUGCAUGCAUGUCGGUGACGCGAGCUACGACAUAAGACACGUCCGCCGUGGGAGGUACGGUCGCGAAGUAAGUUAAACGUUACGAAAGUAAGUUAGUUAGACGNGNGNGCGAGCGACGACGACGGAGAGGAG
rnacentral:rRNA from 1 species